CCUACGGGAGGCAGCAGUAGGGAAUCUUCCGCAAUGGACGAAAGUCUGACGGAGCAACGCCGCGUGAGCGAUGAAGGCCUUCGGGUCGUAAAGUUCUGUUGUUAGGGAAGAACAAGUAUCAGUUAACUGCUGGUACCUUGACGGUACCUAACGAGAAAGCCACGGCUAACUACGUGCCAGCAGCCGCGGUAA
rnacentral:rRNA from 1 species